ensembl:lncRNA
GCCGAGGUAACGCUGAUGACACCGCAGGAAGUAGGACAGACCGUUCGGUUCGGCCUGUGUGGUUGUCGAAGGAUGCAGCCCAGCGACUUUGAGACGCGUCCUCAUCUUAUGGUCCACCCCCGUCUGUCCAUUGGGUGUUAUUCCUGAUGACGCGCUGGUUUCUAGCCAAUCAGGUCGGCGAAUGGCGCCCGGGGUCUCCUGCGGGAACAGACGGAGACUCGAAUCUACAAGCGGGUGUCGCUGGGCUCGAGUGUUCAGUUGGAAGAAGGUUGCUGCUGGUCGCGUCUGCCGCUGCAAACCUCGCUCACGUUACGCGACUGAACGCGACUAAAGCCGUUAGCCGGCUCAGGCUACUUGCUAACACAAGGGGAUGACAUGCUAAUCCAACUGUCCUGAAAAACACCGGAACGGUCUGGGUCCCUUUUGGCUGGACAUGUCUCACAGACUGACCAAGGAGGAGCUGGACGAAGAGUUUGACCUGUUCCUGAAGGAGUCCGUUUCAGAUGACUCGGACAAGCAGCCCGGCCCUAAAAGCAAACCCUGGUGGCAGGAUGAGCAGCACAGCGGGGGAGCAUCAGGGGGAAAAGAGGUGUGAUGCCGCGCUGGAAUGAACAUCUGGUGGCUUGUUUGUUGUGUCCAGACCGGACCGUCUGCCUAAUAUCAGCCCAGGUUGUUUUAAGCCGACCCAAUCAAACAUCACUCACAGCCCCGAUGAAGCACAUGUGCCGUCGCUUCUGGAAUGUUUGAUGUUAUGAAGGAAUAAAACUGGAAAGAUUCCUCACUUUUCUGUGGAUGUCCAUGGGUGACCCAGAAAGCUGAAUCCUCCUGCUCGAGGAGCUCUGCCGGUGGUGCCUGCAUGUACCAGAAUGUACCAGAAUGCAUUGCGCACACAUUUUUGGCCAUCAUGCUCUGUACUGCAUCCUGGAUUCGCCUGGAAUCACUGCGGCUACGGAGUAUCCGCGUCCGCCAAAGCAUCCCGGUCCCUAACAUCUUAUUCACUCGUGUUCUGUGCACUAGGGCUGUCAACCCAGAGGGUCCAGGAUGGUUCUGAGCAUCCCCCUUCAUCACAAGGGAGCCCUCGAUCAAUGCAAUCUCAGUCACUACAGCACGUACCGUUCACUUUACCUUCUACACCGAUUGGACAUGCAUAUUAAGGGGCCCAUUUCUCUUUUUCAAAUCCAAAUGACAACGCUGCUGUUGCACCAGCUCUUUGUAUGUUCAACUGUGAAGAAGAGUUGGAUGUAACUGAGGAUACAAAGUUCUUCUGUAUUUACAGGACGGAGCGGUGCCAAAGAUGGUAACUAUUAUUAGGAUAUGCAGUCACGUAGGAUGGGAAUAACUUAUUACAGAAGCUGUUUGGUGAAUUAAUGGAUUUGCAUUUUUUUCGUAUUGAUAUUUAAUUCAAUACGAUAUUGAUAAUUCAAUAUGAUAUUGAUAUUUGGGUUUUGGAGUAUUGGUCAAACAAAAAGGGCUCCCCGGCUCAGAUUGAGGUUCCCAAUAGAAACCAAAGUGUAUUUUUGGACCAUCCUACUCAUCAAGUUGGAAUUCCUCUUUCUGUCUAACUUUCCACUUGUGAAGCAUCUCUCCUCAACACCCAAUCCAACACUUUCUUUCUCCUGCUUCAGGACUCGGGUCCCUGAACUGACCAGUAAAAUGCACAAUGCAAAUGGUCAUUUGACUAGUCGAUUCUCCAGGGGCCUCAUUUAUAAAAGCUUGCGUAGGAUUUGCACCAGAAGUGUCGUACGGAUGAAACGUAGGACGUGCGUACGCACAGAAAUAUUCAGACUUAUAAAACGUCCUACGCAGUUUUCCCUUAAUAAAUCACAAUCACUUCUAAAUGCAGCGCAGCUUUUGCGGCUUCAUGUCGCGCCCACAGUUGCCCAUAUAUAGUCUGUGGAACGCCCACAAAUUAAUAUUCAUCGAUUGCGAAAUGAUGACAAACACUGAGAGGAAAAUGAAGAAACGUAACUUCACUCAGUGUGAAGUGGAAAUGAUCAUUGGGAGGUGGGAAGGAGGAGUAAGAUGCUAUUUGGAGGACACAGUGUGGAUCACUGAUGCCAACAAGG